rnacentral:rRNA from 1 species
CCUACGGGAGACAGCAGUGGGGAAUAUUGGGCAAUGGGCGCAAGCCUGACCCAGCAACGCCGCGUGAAGGAAGAAGGCUUUCGGGUUGUAAACUUCUUUUCUCAGGGACGAAGCAAGUGACGGUACCUGAGGAAUAAGCCACGGCUAACUACGUGCCAGCAGCCGCGUUAAUACGUAGGGGGCAAGCGUUGGUCGGGAUGACUGGGCGGAAAGGGGGCGUCGGCGGUUGUAGAAGUUAGAAGUGAAAUACCCAGGGCUUAACCCGGGUACUGCUUCUAAAACUGUAUGACUUGAGUGCGGUAGAGGUUAGUGGAAUUCCUAGUGUAGCGGUGGAAUGCGUAGAUAUUAGGAGGAACACCAGAGGCGAAGGCGGCUAACUGGACUGUAACUGACGCUGAGGCACGAAAGUGUGGGGAGCAAACAGGAUUAGAUACCCCAGUAGUC